AACAUUCAAUUAUCGGAAAUCGGGCACUAUAUUUAAAAUAUCGUAUUGAAUUUCAAAUCCGGGUUUUGUUAGUCAUUUUUUAUACGUUUUAUAAUUAUUUUCUUUCUGUUGAAUUUUAAACUCCGAUGUAUCCCGCCGUGUCCGCUGUUUACCGCCGACGUCCAGCUGACGGUUCCACCCUUCUUUAACUUACAUAUGUAUAUGUACAUUUCAACGAAUCUAGUAUACCCUUUCAGUCUACGAAAAUUUUAAUCUUAGUUCAAUCAAAUGAUGUAUAUUAGUAUAUAGGUACAUAGUCGAUGGCCUCGGUUAUAUUAUCUUAAAUAAAUAAAUAAUGAAGGAUUGAUGAAU
rnacentral:lncRNA from 1 species